rnacentral:rRNA from 1 species
CCUACGGGUGGCUGCAGUGGGGGAUAUUGCACAAUGGGGGAAACCCUGAUGCAGCGACGCCGCGUGGGGGAAGAAGGAUUUCGGGAUGGAAAGCCCUAUCAGCAGGGAAGAAGAAAGGAGGGUACGUGAGGAAGAAGCACUGGCUAAAUACGUGCCAGCAGCCGCGGUAAUACGUAGGGGGCAAGCGUUAUCCGGAUUUACUGGGUGUAAAGGGAGCGUAGACGGUUAUGUAAGUCUGGAGUGAAAGCCCGGGGCCCAACCCCGGGACUGCUUUGGAAACUGUGUAACUGGAGUAAAGGAGGGGCAGGCGGAAUUCCUGGUGUAGCGGUGAACUGCGUAGAUAUCAGGAGGAACCCCGGCGGCGAAGGCGGCCUGCUGGACUGAAACUGACGUUGAGGCUCGAAAGCGUGGGGAUCAAACAGGAUUAGAUACCCGGGUAGUC